AGCAGGACAGAGACACCAGCCCUGGGAAGCCACUAGGAUUUCUGCAGAGGGCCGUUUCCACAUCAGAAAACUGGGAACCCUUUGUGCACAUAACGCUUGACACGAAGAAGGACCUCGGAGCCAAGUGGGAACCAACACUGUUUAAAGGCAGGAAGCAAAAUCCUACAGUGUCCAAAUGAAAUGUGUGCUGCGAAAGGCGUAAUCUGUGUGUGUUCUCUGCGGCUCACUCCCAGGUGUGCAAACUUGCAGAGUGGGGAACCUUGUUGCCUUCCCCCUACGCUAACUGCCUUUUCGUGACUUUUUCGCAGCUGGCAGUGAGGUGUGCGGGCUCAUCUGUGGCCAAGUGCCCAGGAAAGAGAGGCAGCCCAGUAGAUCGUGCUUCCCGUGAGGGAGACUCGCUGCUGCCAAUGACAGACUCAAAACAUCGUGACCCGGCCACAGGAUCAUGGGUGAGAACGGCUAGAAUCAGAAAACGAGUGACUAUCCUGUAGCCCCAGUCGGACUUGAGGUUCACAUUUCUUGCAUUUUUAUGCUUAAUGACAAUAGUUUUAUUAGUGAGAAGUGGCCUUCUGGAAGUAGAGUAGAAUUCAUU
rnacentral:lncRNA from 1 species